AUAUUAAUUUGUAGCUCAGGGGAAAUACCAUCAUCACCAAGGGGGUUUCCCUGGGGUGAGGCUUAUCCAUUGCCCUUGGGCUGUGCUGACUCUUUUGAUUUCCCCAAAUGUGGGAAACUUGACAGCAUAGUUUGUGGUAGUCGGGGACUGCAUUCAUAUUUCCUCCAG
ensembl:snRNA U1 U1 spliceosomal RNA